AGCGAACGCUGGCGGCAGGCUUAACACAUGCAAGUCGAGCGCCCCGCAAGGGGAGCGGCAGACGGGUGAGUAACGCGUGGGAAUCUACCCAUCCCUACGGAAUAGCUCCGGGAAACUGGAAUUAAUACCGUAUACGCCCUACGGGGGAAAGAUUUAUCGGGGAUGGAUGAGCCCGCGUUGGAUUUGCUAGUUGGUGGGGUAAAGGCCUACCAAGGCGACGAUCCAUAGCUGGUCUGAGAGGAUGAUCAGCCACACUGGGACUGAGACACGGCCCAGACUCCUACGGGAGGCAGCAGUGGGGAAUCUUAGACAAUGGGGGCAACCUUGAUCUAGCCAUGCCGCGUGAGUGAUGAAGGCCUUAGGGUUGUAAAGCUCUUUCAGCUGGGAAGAUAAUGACGGUACCAGCAGAAGAAGCCCCGGCUAACUCCGUGCCAGCCGCCGCAGUAACAC
rnacentral:rRNA from 1 species